GACGAGUUACUGCAAUAAAACGAACUAAGAAAAAAGAAGAAGAGUUUGAACCAAAAGACAAUGUCCGGAUUACACCCUGAAAUAACCCGGACAAGCAGAAAUUACAACAAAAUAAACCACCCAAAACUCCUCCCUGGCUAGCCAAGAAAGGAGUGUCUUUCCAAUCAGCAAGCUGGACGUCUUAACCACUAUACUGCACAUCAAAAUUAUUGGGACCUUCACCAGUUUCAAUAUCAUUAACUCCAGUCAGCAAGUUCCCAAGAGGAUUAUCAUACUCCAUGUUACCAUGCAUCAUCCCCACAACGUGUGCAUCAUCAAGUAC
rnacentral:lncRNA from 1 species